ACAUGAAUCACCUGGGGAUCUUGUUAAAAUGCAGAUUCUACUUUCAGGAGGUCUGAGGCAAGACUUGAGACUCUGCAUCACUAACAAGUUCCAGCUGAUGCUGAU
rnacentral:miRNA from 1 species